rnacentral:tRNA from 1 species
AUUUAAAUAUUUUAAUUAAAAUAAAGAUUUGUGGUGUCUUAGAUAGGGUUAUUCCUUUUAAAUU